GAGGGUAUAGCUCAGUGGUAGAGUGCAUGCUUAGCAUGCAUGAGGUGCUGGGUUCAAUCCCCAGUGUCUCCA
rnacentral:tRNA from 1 species